GACGAACGCUGGCGGCGCGCCUAACACAUGCAAGUCGAGCGAUGAAAGUUGUUCAGAUCCUUCGGGUGACGAACUUCUGGAUUAGCGGCGAACGGGUGAGUAACGCGUGAGGAACCUGCCUCUCACAACGGGAUAGCCUCGGGAAACCGGGAUUAAUACCGUAUGACACUAUCAGAUGGCAUCAUCAGAUAGUUAAAGUGCUAGCGGUGAGAGAUGGCCUCGCGUCUGAUUAGUUAGUUGGUGGGGUAACGGCCUACCAAGACGACGAUCAGUAACCGGCCUGAGAGGGUGAACGGUCACAUUGGAACUGAGACACGGUCCAAACUCCUACGGGAGGCAGCAGUGGGGAAUCUUGCACAAUGGGGGGAACCCUGAUGCAGCGACGCCGCGUGAGCGAUGAAGGUUUUCGAAUCGUAAAGCUCUGUCCUAUGGGAAGAUAAUGACGGUACCAUAGGAGGAAGCCCCGGCUAACUACGUGCCAGCAGCCGCGGUAAUACGUAGGGGGCGAGCGUUGUCCGGAAUUACUGGGCGUAAAGGGUUCGCAGGCGGCAUGACAAGUCCGAUGUAAAAGGCGAAAGCUCAACUUUCGUAAGCAUCGGAAACUGUCAAGCUUGAGUGAAGGAGAGGCAAGUGGAAUUCCUAGUGUAGCGGUGGAAUGCGUAGAUAUUAGGAGGAAUACCGGUGGCGAAGGCGACUUGCUGGACUUCAACUGACGCUGAGGAACGAAAGCGUGGGUAGCAAACAGG
rnacentral:rRNA from 1 species